GGUAGGAGAGCGUUCUAAGGGCGUUGAAGCAUGAUCGUAAGGACAUGUGGAGCGCUUAGAAGUGAGAAUGCCGGUGUGAGUAGUGAAAGACGGGUGAGAAUCCCGUCCACCGAUUGACUAAGGUUUCCAGAGGAAGGCUCGUCCGCUCUGGGUUAGUCGGGUCCUAAGCUGAGGCCGACAGGCGUAGGCGAUGGAUAACAGGUUGAUAUUCCUGUACCACCUAUAAUCGUUUUAAUCGAUGGGGGGACGCAGUAGGAUAGGCGAAGCGUGCGAUUGGAUUGCACGUCUAAGCAGUAAGGCUGAGUAUUAGGCAAAUCCGGUACUCGUUAAGGCUGAGCUGUGAUGGGGAGAAGACAUUGUGUCUUCGAGUCGUUGAUUUCACACUGCCGAGAAAAGCCUCUAGAUAGAAAAUAGGUGCCCGUACCGCAAACCGACACAGGUAGUCAAGAUGAGAAUUCUAAGGUGAGCGAGCGAACUCUCGUUAAGGAACUCGGCAAAAUGACCCCGUAACUUCGGGAGAAGGGGUGCUCUUUAGGGUUAACGCCCAGAAGAGCCGCAGUGAAUAGGCCCAAGCGACUGUUUAUCAAAAACACAGGUCUCUGCUAAACCGUA
rnacentral:rRNA from 1 species